rnacentral:rRNA from 1 species
GAAUAUUGGACAAUGGGGGGAACCCUGCUCCCGCCAUGCCGCGUGUGUGAAGAAGGCCUUUUGGUUGUAAAGCACUUUAAGCGAGGAGGAGGAGCGCUUGGUUAAUACCCCAGAUGCUUGGACGUUACCCGCAGACUAAGCACCCGCUAACUACGGCCCAGCGGCCGCGGUAAUACGUAGGGUGCACGCGUUAAUCGGAAGUACUGGGCGUAAAGCGUGCGCAGGCGGGUUGGAAAGAAGGAUGUGAAAUCCCAGGGCUUAACCUUGGAACUGCAUUCUUAACUGCCAGGCUAGAGUAUGUCAGAGGGGGGUAGAAUUCCGCGUGUAGCAGUGAAAUGCGUAGAGAUGCGGAGGAAUACCGAUGGCGAAGGCAGCCCCCUGGGAUAAUACUGACGCUCAUGCACGAAAGCGUGGGGAGCAAACAG